GGUUACAGGAGGGACAGAGGCGGCCGCAAGCGGCUGACGGCGCAGAAAAGGAAGGAGAUCAAGGAGGCCUUCGAUCUCUUCGACACCGAUGGCUCCGGCACCAUCGAUGCAAGGGAGCUCAACGUCGCAAUGAGAGCGCUGGGGUUUGAGAUGACGCCGGAGCAGAUCCAGCAGAUGAUCGCGGAGGUGGACAAGGACGGCAGCGGGACGAUCGACCUGGACGAGUUCAUACACAUGAUGACGGACAAGAUGGGGGAGAGGGACGCCAGGGACGAGCUCCACAAGGCCUUCCGGAUCAUCGACCAAGACGGCAACGUACGUACACUACUCACCAAGAGAUUGGAUUUGCGAUAUGUUGUGGCGAUCUCUAUCUCUCUGUUAAUGCACUCACCAAGAGAUUGGAUUUCCACCUUUCCACCAUCCUCAUUUUUUUAUGAUUGA
rnacentral:rRNA from 1 species